UGCAAGCGUCAUAGUAUCUUUGUUGUCUGCAGUCCUACCAACACCUACCAGAGUAAUGAUACAUCUGCAGAUAAAUUUGAACAGCAGCUGUGUGUGUUCCUUAAUGAUAUUCUGAGAAGAGAUAUCAUGAUCCUGGGCAACUGUAAUGCACAGGCACAGGAGAAAGUGGAAAAAGUACCUUUAUUAAACAGAUGAGGAUUAUUCAUGGAUCAGGUUACACAGAAGAGGACAGGAAAAGCUUCACAAAAUUGGUUUAUCAAAACAUAUUUACUGCCAUGCAAGCUAUGAUCAGAGCCAUGGAUACAUUAAAGAUACAGUACACUUCUGCAGAGAACAAGCAAAAGAAGGUCAUGAAGAAAUUGUUGGUAUUAGUCUGACUCAACUGAAGCACUGCAGUUACCAAACAUGAAAUUUACAGGAUAAGAAACAGGG